AUUGAUCAAUGAGUCGAAUGGGGUGACAAAGAAGGAUACAACAACAACAAAAACUAAAUUAAUACACACUCAAUUAUUCAAUAAAAUUUAAUGAGCUAAGGUUUCAAUAUCAUGUCGGAAAAAUUGAUUCAAAUUCCAGAACCACGUUGAUUGUCACCACCACCACCACAACUCUACUGCCACCCGGUUAAAUUUUUAUCAAACAAAAAAAAAAAAGCUCAAAACUUUGCUAUAUACCAAAAAAAAAACAAAACAAAAUUGUGAUCUGCUUCACUUUGCUUAACGUAUUUU